CGAGACACUAUCCUUGAGAAUAAAAUCAGCUCGCGUCAAACACAUCACAUUAAAUAUCCACGAAUCCCACCUCUCUCUGUCUCUGAAUGUUAAUUCCUUAUUGUAUGGGUCGGUAUCACAAAUGCAUAUCUUCUUUGCGGUUAGCUCUACAAUGGAAGGAAGUGGUAUUUAUCAUUCAUUAUGCUAGUUCAGAUUUGCUCGCUUAAAAGAUGGUUAGUGUGUUUCGAACAGCGAAUUAAUUUCUGUGCAUAUUAGCCUGCAAAUAUAAAUUUGGAAAUAUAAAAGGGUUUAGCAAAAUCCAAAAAUGUUAUUCGGUUCGAAAAAUUCGUCAGAAAACAGAAUUGAAAGCAUCCAGGCGUUCGGAAUCAUCUAUUUUACGUUAAAGUUCCAAGGAAUGGUUAUAAACGAAGAGUAUCGCCUUCGACACAAAACCAACAUUUUGUAUCACGCCUCGUUCAUCAUCGAACUAUUCUUCAUUAUAUUCAAAUAUUCCUAUGAACAUUUGUGUGACAGCCUGCUCGCUUAAGUUCUAUGUAAUUUUGAGAUUAAGACCCACAGCCUUAUCGAAAUGAAUGAACAGCUGAAGCGUCUAGACGACCGACCUAUGACGGACAAGGAAAAGGAUAAAUUGAAGAAGGUAAUCCGCUUUUGCAGACUGAUUUCGACGAUGGCUGCCGUGUUUUACUUGGGGGCAAAUUUAGCAUAUAUCCUUGCUGCGGCACUUUCUCACGACACGAAACUUGGAUUUGGAAGCUGGUUCCCAUACGAUUGGAGUAAGAACGCCUUUCGGUACUGGAUUUCGUUGUUUAUACAGGGCAUGUUCCAACAGCAACUCGCGCUGGAACAGAUAUUCACUAUGAUCCAGAGAAAACGGAGGAGGAAGCUUUCCAAGACUUUAUACGGUGCUUAGAGGACCACCGGAUUAUAAUGGAGUAAUAAAGGCUAUGUACACGGCAUUAACGAUCAUGAACCCAUCCGACUGAGGAGGAGCAGUAACGACAUUUUUUUCAGUUUAAUCAGAAAUUUAUAAUUUAGAAAAGAUGUAUCUCAAUCCCGCCCUUUACUUUUUCUUUUGUGCAUUCACUAAUUUUAAACAAUGUAAUAACGUUUGUAGCAUUCAAUUAAUAAAAGGCUUACAAUAAUGA
rnacentral:misc_RNA from 1 species